AGUAGUUGAUCAUGGCUACAGGACGAACGCUGGCGGCGUGCCUAACACAUGCAAGUCGAGCGGGGACAUGCGACGGAGUCGAAGUUUCGGAUGGAGACAAAGAUGUAUUGUUCUAGCGGCGGACGGGUGAGUAACGCGUGAGCAACCUGUCCCUUACAGGGGGAUAACACAGCGAAAGUUGUACUAAUACCGCAUAAGACCACAGAGUGACAUCGCUCAGGGGUCAAAGGAGCAAUCCGGUAAGGGGUGGGCUCGCGUCCGAUUAGAUAGUUGGUGAGGUAACGGCCCACCAAGUCGACGAUCGGUAGCCGACCUGAGAGGGUGAUCGGCCACAUUGGGACUGAGACACGGCCCAAACUCCUACGGGAGGCAGCAGUGGGGAAUAUUGGGCAAAUGGGGGAAACCCUGACCCAGCAACGCCGCGUGAGGGAAGAAGGUUUUCGGAUCGUAAACCUCUGUCCUUGGUGAAGAGGAAGAGACGGUAGCCAAGGAGGAAGCCCCGGCUAACUACGUGCCAGCCGCGGC
rnacentral:rRNA from 1 species